rnacentral:lncRNA from 1 species
AAAAUAUUAUUAUUGCUCGUAUUUAUUGUUCUCCCUUGUCCUCUUCCUCUUUCUCCAUUAGAUGAAGAACUCGGGAUGGACGCAUUUUCGUGUAUAAAAAGUUAUCAAGUUAAAUAUUCCCUAGUAAGAUAGUCAGGGAUACUUUUCUAUACAUGAUUAUGAAGACAAAAUGAAGACAUGAUUAUGGUAAUUAGAGUUUUAUCAUCAAAGAAAGAUGUAAAAUAAGACAUAAUAAAAUCUUUGUUUAGGAAGUUAGUAUUCUCUGGAUAAGAAGCCUGGCAGAGAAUUAUAAAUUUCCUUUUUAUAUUGGAUUUCGAAAUCAAAAGGGGCUACUUGGGUCUGCCACCUAGCAAACAUCAGAUUUGAAGCAUCAUGUUUGAAAUCUUUAUCAAACAUAUAUUUAACAGAUUGAGCAUCUAUUCUAAUCAAAAAGUUUUGAUUGUAAAGAUUAUCUUGAAAUUUCAAAACGCAUUUUACAAUACAAAGCAUUUCAUGUACUAUAGUCGCAUAUUUGCGCUGAGCUUUAGUCCAUUUACCUGAAUGAAAACGAACAAGAUAUUCAUGUUUAUCAUGAGGGUUAACUUUUUAAGUAUUACUCCAUAACCAAUAUUUGAAGCAUCAGUUUCAAUAAUUUUGAUCCAUACUGGAUUAGCAAGAGUUAAACAAGUAAGGCUUUAAUUUUUUGUUUAAUACUUCUAACAAGCGUAGUAAGAUUAUCAUUCCAAGGUAAUUUAUUAACCUUUUUUAAUCUAUUUGUCAAAGGAGCUAGAUCUUUAGAAAGAUUUUUAUAAAAAGGGAAAAUGUAAUUUAAACUUUCAAAAAAUCUUUGUAACACAGUCCUGUCUGUUAUAAUAUCAAAAAAGUUUGACGCAAAAUCAAAAGAUCUUUGAAUUGGAGAAAUUUUUCCUUGACAAAUUUGGUGCCCCAAAAAUCUGAUAUGAGUUUGAAAUAAACUCAUUUUAGCAUUAGAAAUAACUAAGCCAUUUGGAAUAACAAUCUUUUUUGAAAACAUCAAGAUGUUUGAUAUGAGAUUCUAGAGUUUUAGAAUAAACGAGGAUAUCAUCUAUAUAAACAAUGAUAUAAGCCAUAUAUGGAUUAAAAAUAUCACUCAUAAUUUUUUUGAAAUUCUGAUGGAGCAUUUUUUAAAUCAAAUGGCAUAACGUUCCAUUCAUACUGGCCAAAAGGAACAUUAAAAGCAGUUAUAUAGGUGUGUUCCUUAAAGAUUUGAAUUUGCCAAUAUCCUGAUUUUAAAUCAAAUUUUGAAAAUACAUUAGCAUCAUAUAAUCUUUAUAAAAUAUCUUUUUAUUUGGAAUAGGAUACCUAAUCCAUUUUAAAUUUUUAUUUAAAGAUUUAUAAUUAAUGACUAACCUGGGGACACCACGUUCUUUUUCUGCAGCUUUAUUAAAAUAAAACGCAAUACACGGCCAGGGAGAUUUAGAAGGUUUUAUCAAUCCUUUUGCAAUAAAUUAUCAAUUUCUUUUUUACAGAACUCCACUAAUUCUUCGUUCAUUUGGCAGGGGCGAGACUUAGUGGGAUAUUACUUUCGCAGAAACAAUCUUCAUAAGGCAAAGUUACAAUAUGUUUUUUCUUGUUCCAAAAAGCACUUGGAUGAUCUGAGCAAAUAUCAGCAGCCAUUUGUCCAGCAAUUAACUUUAAUUUUUCCUGUACUUUAGCUGGCUGGAGAGUUUCUAUAAUAUUCAUGAUAUUAAUUUCCUUUGUAAAGAAUUAAUGUG